AGACCUGAGAAGUCACCUGGGGAGGCUCAUUAAUUCAACAAACCGGCUUCUGGUUUCAAUUUGGCUUUUAACUGGGGAGGGAACUUGAUCUUCUAAAGGAGCUCUGUUUCUAUAAAACCGAUAAAAAGCCUGUUUUCCCACCUCCCUUUCAGAAACACACGUGCUCACGGCAGGCUUUACCAUCCCAUCAUCUGCAGGACACACUUUAGAUGGCAAGUUUGGCGUAGAGAGUGUCCCAGAAAGAGGGGAGAAUGGGGCUCACUUCUUCACAAAGCCAUGGAUAAACCUUAAUUUCACAGAAGGAGUUUUGUACCCAUGGAUUUAAGAUCCAUGACUCUUGAUGAGAAGAAUAGGAGGGAGUGGGCAGGGGAAAUCAAAAGCAGAGACAUCACUUUGUUGACAAAGGCCCAUAUAGUCAAAGCUAUGGUUUUUCCAGUUAGUCAUGUACAGAUGUGAGAGUUGGACCAUUAAGAAGGCUGAGUGCCAAAAAUUUGAUGCUUUCAAAUUGUGCUGGAGAAGACUCUUGAGAGUCCCUUGGACUGCAAGGAAAUCAAACCAGUCAAUCCUAAAGGAAAUCAGUCUUGAAUAUUCAUUGGAAGGACUGUUGCUGAAGCUCCAAUAUUUGGCCACCUGAUACGAAGAACUGACUCAUUGGAAAAGACACUGAUGCUGAAAAAGACUGAGGGCAGAAGGAGAAGGAGGCGACUGAGGAUGAGAUGGUUGGAUGGCAUCACCAACUCAAUGGACAUGAGUUUGAGCAAACUCUGGGAGAUGGUGAAGGACAGGGAAAGCAUGGCAUGCUGCAGUUCAUGGGGUUGCAAAGAGUCGGACACGACAGAGCGACUGAACACCACCACCAGCACCUAGAGAAGGCCCCUGGAACUACUGGAGAGAACUCCCUCUCAGCUCUGACAGGUGAUGGAGCUUGACGUACAGAUCUCAGUCCACACUGCUGUCCCUGGAGCCCUGUGUGUACAAGGUUCCCGCUGCUGGUUUUUAUGCCUGCUUUGCAUCACCCGAGGGGUAACGAUGCUGGGAAGGGACUCAGGUCAAGUGGUCAGAGACACCACUGGACACACAGUGGCUCUUGCCUGCGCUGGGAGACGCUGCCCAUUCCUUUUUUUCUUGGAUUUCAGUUGCAGGGGAAAUGCAUUAUUU
ensembl:lncRNA